GCCCAAUCUGGGUCGCCUGAGAUUUAAAAAGGGUCCUCCUGAAAUUCUUGAUAAUUGAUUGAAAUAAGAGAUAGUUUAAAGUUAAGUAACUUCCAAGCAUUUAAGGAAGCUCUCCAAACCGUGCUGGGGCUCGUCACCCCUACGAAUGGGAUAAGUACAGAGAGCAAAAGAUAAUAUGAUUGUUCGACUCAACUUAACUUUAAUUCUGUCUAACCUUAAAGGGCCAAUAAUCUCGCUGAACUCUGGUUCAGACACAGAAUAGGAGACACUUUUGCCACCAAUUGACCUUCAAAAUUAAGUAAAUUACAUCUCAAAUAAUAAUUAUGAGGGAAAUGAAUGAAAUAAAUGAACUGACAAAUUCAGCUCUAUAAAAGAAUUAGGCUAUGUGAAUAGGUGUGGAGUUUUAACAUUAUUCAGAAUAAAUAAAGGAUAGAAUAAGAUUUCUCCUUCACAAAUAAGAGAUAGCAACGAAAAAUGAAACAAACAAUUUAAAUAAAUAAAUAACAUUAUUUAUUUAUUUGGUUAAACUCAUUUAGCUUUCUCACAUCUCCAUGUCUCCCAAUUGUAUGUAUUCAUCUUGAGAAGACAUGUAAUCACACUCCACACUUCUCCGUCUGACUUGCAUGUCCUUCUCCGUCCGACUUGCAUGUCCUUGUAAACAGUGGUUCUCAAAUUGUUGCUUCUCACCAGCCUCAUAUUUUCCCACUCGCGUGCGAAUGGGCUACAGAGCUAGCAUGGCUAAAAGCUCACUAACCCACACCUAACCAUUGUGUGAUUGUGCAGCAGCACCUUUUAGGAUCUGAAAAGCUCUCAGAUCCUGACCUCUGACCUGUCUCUGCCUUCCUGGCCAUACUAACUAUUCAUUUAGUUAGUUAACUAAACCUAACACCCCUAAACUUUUAUUUUUUUAAUUUUUUUUUUUCUUUUUUUUUUUAUUUUUUAUUUUAUUUUAUUUUAUUUUAUUUUAUUUUAUUUUAUUUUGGGUGAGUGUGUUUCCCCCCCCCCGUUUUUCUUCUGUCCAGGUACCAGCUAAAGCCUACCAGGUACCAGGUACCAGCUAAAGCCUCAGUAGUGGGAUCGCGCCUGUGUUCAGGUACCAGCCAAUCCCAAGAGUUUUGUUUUGGUGUUUUUCCCCCUCUUCUGUUCAGGUACCUUCCGAUCCCAAGAGAGGUUGCCAGGUGUGUGGAGACUACCCUUCCUCAGACAACAACCAAUCAUCUACAACGCCGACCGAAAUGAACGACCCACACGGCAGUGAAGGUCGCACAGCGGGCGACAUGGAUCCAAGAUGAUUGCCGAGACCAGCUGAUGCUGAGACGGAGGCUGACCGAACAAUGAAGGGGGAACCGACAAGGCCACUGAGACACACACACACAAGAAAACUCUCUAGAACAAGGGCCUAGCUUUGUUUAUAAGCCACACCAAAUGCUCAUAGCUAGGUUGAGGGAGCUAUUGGUUACCCCAGUUACCACUGAACUCAGCCGAUGAAGACGAGUGAUGUCCUUGAUGCAAAUGAUGAUUUUUGCUUAUCUAGAUGUAAUAA
rnacentral:lncRNA from 1 species